UUAUAAUCGACGUCAUAGCCAAGUUCGAUCGUGUUUAUUGUGGACCUUGCCGUGUGACGUCACAGUAAGGCACGCGGUGAAUGCCAACGAACUCGCGCUGCAU
rnacentral:pre_miRNA from 1 species